rnacentral:rRNA from 1 species
AACGAACGCUGGCGGCAGGCUUAACACAUGCAAGUCGAACGGUUGUAGCAAUACAGCAGUGGCAGACGGGUGAGUAACACGGGGAAACCUUCCUAGGGGGUACGGAACAACUCAGGGAAACUUGAGCUAAUACCGUAUACGUCCGUGAGGAGAAAGAUUUAUCGCCCUUAGACGGGCCCGCGUCGGAUUAGCUAGUUGGUGGGUAACGGCCUACCAAGGCGACGAUCCGUAGCUGAUCUUAGAGGAUGAUCAGCCACACUGGGACUGAGACACGGCCCAGACUCCUACGGGAGGCAGCAGUGGGGAAUCUUGGACAAUGGGCGCAAGCCUGAUCCAGCCAUGCCGCGUGAGUGAAGAAGGUCUUCGGAUUGUAAAGCUCUUUUGCCAGGGACGAUAAUGACGGUACCUGGGGAAUAAGCCCCGGCAAACUUCGUGCCAGCAGCCGCGGUAAU